UACACUACAAGAAACACGGAAGAUAGAGGCGACAAAUUGCCUACGAUUUUUCCAUGAGCUGCAAAUUGGCAAGAUAGCUGUGAUUGGCAUCCGAUCUCUUCAAUGUGUUGCAGAAUCGGAUGGAUUAGCGUCGAAUCCAUGAAGCACCACCACCAACCCCAAACCUUUAUCAUAUACUUGGUGGUUGUGUUACCUAAUUUGAUCAAAUUACCCAAAAGAAAAACAAGAACAUGCGAAAGGAGAGUGGAAGCGUGCAAACCCCUGUUCUCUGCUCCGCCGUGUGCCGCUGUGUCACCCUGGAAUCACGUGGCUGCCGACCCAUCCUCCUCUCACCGCCAUCGACCGUUUCCCUCUACUCUACAGUGCGUGAAACCCCUAAUCCCUCCUCCACGGUGUGCGAAACCCACCCCUGUUCUCUGCCCCACCGUGUGCGUCUGUGCCAUCUUUCAAUCGCGUGGUUGCCCAGACAUCCUCCUCUCACCGUCCUCGACCGUACCCCUCUCCUCCACCCCUUACUCCCUCCUCUAUUGUGCGCGAUAUGAGCUAUCGUGGCCUCUUCCUUGCUCCAAUUGAUGGGUUUCCACUUUCAAAUAUUUAAUAGCUGAGCUGUGGAAUUGUGAAUGGUGUAGAGGGACGAAUUUUUUUACUCAAAAAUCAUCUAACAAUUUCUCUUAUUAUGGAAAAAUAAUAUGUGAUGACAAGUGAUGUGACUAGGAUUGUUGUGCAGAUCGUGGUUAAGAGUCAAGUUUUGGCUGGUGGAAUGGCUUGGAAACUUUUAAAAAUGGUCUUAAGGGUGGUGUACACUUUGUUAAGGCUGACCAGGUUGCAGAUAUUGCUGAAAAUUUAUUAUCCAAAUAAUCACAGGAUAUCUUCCCAGUCUUAUUCUUCAAUUGUCUCUGAAAGCAGUACCUCCUAUCAUGGGAUUCCUUACCUCCAUGCAAGGUUACAUCUCACAUAGUGAUAUAGAAAGUAGUGCAUGCAACAAAGUGAUAUGGUUCAUAGUAUGGAAUGUCUUUCUUGCAACUGUCUUUUCUGGGUCAUUUAUAUCCUUGCUAUCUGUCAUCCUUGAUCCAAAGCACAUUCCUGAGAGGUUGGCAGUUGCUAUUCCAGUACAGGCAUUUUUUUUCAUACUUAUGUUGUCACAUUAGGAUGGACAAGUGUGACAUCAGAGCUCUUUCGGAUAAUUUCUCUACUUAGCAGUUUGAUUACAAGGCCCUUCUCAAGUCCUGAUGAUGAAUUUGAAGUACCAUAUCUUCCUUUACACAGGGAUGUUCCAAGGGUCCUUUUCUUUGGACUUCUUGGUAUCACAUAUUUCUUCCUAGCUCCACUAAUUUUACCAUUCCUAUUAGCCUAUCUCUGUCUCGCAUACAUCAUUUAUCGAAACCAGGUCAGCAUUUCUUUGUAUGCUUAUAUUAUCUAUCUACUUCUGGAAGGAAGGUUCUUUUAUCUUUAUUUUCUAUCAUACAUGACAAUUAUCAAUUAUGUCUUGCUUUGGAUAGUAAGUAGGGAUAGUUAUGAUUUUUGAAAUAUUGAGUAGCCUACUUCCAAUGUAUGAAGAGUUAGAUAUAAAACCAUUAUUAAGAAGGACAGAGAAGACCAAAAUGAUCCAAGAAUGGCUGAAUUUUACAAGAAGUUGGUAAUUGCUUAUAAAGACCCUGCUUUGCUGCCAUUUCAAUACACUUCAAACACUAAUGAUCUAUUCGAUCCCCUAUUAUCUUAAGUUCAACACUGAGGCACAAUAUUCAUUCAUUUAUGUCCAGUUGUAUAGGCUGUUCCUCUAUGUGAUGCGAAAUUAAUUACUAUUUCUUAGAACAGUGGAAUGCAAGUGUGCCAUUGUGUGCAAAA